AUCCACUGAUGAAAUUAUGGCAAGCUUCAUGAUCCAGCCAAACCAAGAGACUACGGUUCUUAGUCUGCUGUCAGGUGGGUAAUCUUGGUAGUGUGGUGGAGUUUUAUUACACUGCUGUAAGGGCUCACCUAUAGUGAAACUGUCACCUCCUACAGCCUUUGCCCUUCUAAAAGAAAUUGGAUGGGAUAAAUAGGAGAUGUCAAACAGUAAGUGUAUAUGUGUCAGCUGACAAAAGGCUGUAGUCUCUGUCUACUUGGUUUGGUAGGUAUGAAUAACGUCUUUGGUAAUCUGAGGAUA